UACGGGGGGGUGCGAGCGUUGUCCGGAAUCACUGGGCGUAAAGGGCGCGUAGGUGGUCUGAUAAGGGUGUGGUGAAAGCCCGGGGCUCAACCCCGGGUCGGCCGUGCCGACUGUUAGACUAGAGUACUGUAGGGGCAGGCGGAAUUCCGGGUGUAGCGGUGGAAUGCGUAGAGAUCCGGAGGAAGACCGGUGGCGAAGGCGGCCUGCUGGGCAGUUACUGACGCUGAGGCGCGAAAGCCAGGGGAGCGAACGGG
rnacentral:rRNA from 1 species